UACGGAAGGGGCAAGCGUUGUUCGGAAUCAUUGGGCGUAAAGGGCGUGUAGGUGGUUCUGUAUGUCUACCGUGAAAGCGUACGGCUCAACCGUAUUUAGUCGGUAGAAACUGCAGGACUUGAGGCUGGGAGGGGCUGGUGGAAUUCCCGGUGUAGAGGUGAAAUUCGUAGAUAUCGGGAGGAACACCAGUGGCGAAGGCGGCGACCUGGGCCAAUACUGACGCUGAGGUGCGAAAGCGUGGGGAGCAAACAGG
rnacentral:rRNA from 1 species